GGGUGGAUUAGUGGCGACGGGUGAGUAACACGUGGGCAAUCUGCCCUUCACUCUGGGACAAGCCCUGGAAACGGGGUCUAAUACCGGAUAACACCCUCGCGGGCAUCUGCGAGGGUUGAAAGCUCCGGCGGUGAAGGAUGAGCCCGCGGCCUAUCAGCUUGUUGGUGAGGUAAUGGCUCACCAAGGCGACGACGGGUAGCCGGCCUGAGAGGGCGACCGGCCACACUGGGACUGAGACACGGCCCAGACUCCUACGGGAGGCAGCAGUGGGGAAUAUUGCACAAUGGGCGAAAGCCUGAUGCAGCGACGCCGCGUGAGGGAUGACGGCCUUCGGGUGGUAAACCUCUUUCACCAGGGAAGAAGCGAGAGUGACGGUACCUGCAAAAAAAGCGCCGGCUACUACGUGCCAGCAGCCCCGGUAAUACGUAGGGGCCAGCGUUUUCCGGAAUUAUUGGGGUUAAAAGCUCUUAGGCGCUUGGCCCCUCAAUUGGAAAACCC
rnacentral:rRNA from 1 species